GUAGGGAAUAUUGGGCAAUGGGCGAGAGCCUGACCCAGCCAUGCCGCGUGCAGGAUGACGGCGCUCAGCGUUGUAAACUGCUUUUAUCUAGGAAGAACGGUAUCCCUGCGGGGGUAUGUGACGGUACUAGAGGAAUAAGCACCGGCUAACUCCGUGCCAGCAGCCGCGGUAAUACGGAGGGUGCAAGCGUUGUCCGGAUUUAUUGGGUUUAAAGGGUGCGUAGGUGGCUCUGUAAGUCUGGUUUGAAAGCUGGUGGCUCAACCAUCAGAUGUGGCUGGAAACUGGAGAGCUUGAAUGGAUUGGCGGCUGCCGGAACGGGUCAUGUAGCGGUGAAAUGCAUAGAUAUGACCCAGAACACCGAUUGCGAAGGCAGGCAGCUACGAUUCGAUUGACACUGAGGCACGAGAGCAUGGGGAGCCAACAGG
rnacentral:rRNA from 1 species